rnacentral:rRNA from 1 species
UACGGAGGGGGCUAGCGUUGUUCGGAAUUACUGGGCGUAAAGCGCGCGUAGGUGGCCAUUUAAGUCCGCUGUGAAAGUCAAAGGCUCAACCUUUGAAAGCCGGUGGAUACUGGAUGGCUAGAGUACGGAAGAGGCGAGUGGAAUUCCUGGUGUAGCGGUGAAAUGCGCAGAUAUCAGGAGGAACACCGAUGGCGAAGGCAGGUCUCUGGGCCACUGACUGACGCUGAGAAGCGAAAGCUGGGGAGCGAACAGG